UACGUAGGGUGCGAGCGUUAAUCGGAAUUACUGGGCGUAAAGCGUGCGCAGGCGGUUUUGUAAGCCAGAUGUGAAAUCCCCGGGCUUAACCUGGGAAUGGCAUUUGGGACUGCAAGGCUGGAGUGCGGCAGAGGGGGAUGGAAUUCCGCGUGUAGCAGUGAAAUGCGUAGAUAUGCGGAGGAACACCGCUGGCGAAGGCAAUCCCCUGGGCCUGCACUGACGCUCAUGCACGAAAGCGUGGGGAGCAAACAGG
rnacentral:rRNA from 1 species